AAUCCCUUGUAUCUAUUUGCACACAUCCAGGCAGAAGUUGGUUUUGCUACUGGGUCUAGUUGCACAUAGUGGUGUUUAAUUACACAGACAUCAUAUUACUAUUGCUACUCCCUCCAAUUAUGGAGAAGACUGGUGGAAGAUCCAGAGGCAAAGGGGAAGGGAAAGUACAGAAGGGAGGAUUAGGAGCCAGAAGUGAACUUACUUUGAUUGAUGCUGCCUGGUAUGCUUCUUCUCCUCCCUCCUGUUACCACUUUAGUUCUUGUCAAAAAAAUCAGCUUGUUUGGUUUGCCAUGGUAGCUCUGUAGGUUUUUGGAUCCAGGAUGGGAUCCCCUUUCUUUCAUGGAGAAG
rnacentral:lncRNA from 1 species